GUGAACGCUGGCGGUAGGCCUAACACAUGCACGUCGAACGGCAGCACAGUAAGAGCUUGCUCUUACGGGUGGCGAGUGGCGGACGGGUGAGGAAUACAUCGGAAUCUACUUUUUCGUGGGGGAUAACGGAGGGAAACUUACGCUAAUACCGCAUACGACCUACGGGUGAAAGCAGGGGAUCUUCGGACCUUGCGCGAUUGAAUGAGCCGAUGUCGGAUUAGCUAGUUGGCGGGGUAAAGGCCCACCAAGGCGACGAUCCGUAGCUGGUCUGAGAGGAUGAUCAGCCACACUGGAACUGAGACACGGUCCAGACUCCUACGGGAGGCAGCAGUGGGGAAUAUUGGACAAUGGGCGAAAGCCUGAUCCAGCCAUACCGCGUGGGUGAAGAAGGCCUUCGGGUUGUAAAGCCCUUUUGUUGGGAAAGAAAAGCAGCAGGUUAAUACCCCGCUGUUCUGACGGUACCCAAAGAAUAAGCACCGGCUAACUUCGUG
rnacentral:rRNA from 1 species